ensembl:snRNA U4 U4 spliceosomal RNA
AGCUUUGCGCAGUGGCAGUAUCGUAGCCUAUGAGGUUUAUCCGAGGCGCGAUUAUUGCUAGUUGAAAACUUUACCCAAUACCCCGCCGUGACGACUUGAAAUAUAGUCGGCAUUGGCAAUUUUUGACGGUCUUUACGGAGA